rnacentral:rRNA from 1 species
GAUGAACGCUAGCGGCAGGCUUAAUACAUGCAAGUCGUGGGGCAGCAUGAGUAGCAAUACUUGAUGGCGACCGGCAAACGGGUGCGGAACACGUACACAACCUUCCGAUAAGUGGGGAAUAGCCCAGAGAAAUUUGGAUUAAUACCCCGUAACAUAUAGAGUAGGCAUCUUCUUUAUAUUAUAGCUUCGGCGCUUAUUGAUGGGUGUGCGUCUGAUUAGGUAGUUGGCGGGGUAACGGCCCACCAAGCCUACGAUCAGUAGCUGAUGUGAGAGCAGGAUCAGCCACACGGGCACUGAGACACGGGCCCGACUCCUACGGGAGGCAGCAGUAAGGAAUAUUGGACAAUGGGCGAAAGCCUGAUCCAGCCAUGCCGCGUGAAGGAUUAAGGUCCUCUGGAUUGUAAACUUCUUUUAUUUGGGACGAAAAAAGGGAAUUCUUUCCCACUUGACGGUACCAAGUGAAUAAGCACCGGCUAACUCCGUGCCAGCCGCCGCAGUAAGAC